GCAUAGGAAGGGUGGUUUAGGUCUGU
rnacentral:piRNA from 1 species